GCCUGGGAGGCUCAGUCGGUUGAGCGUCCGACUUCGGCUCAGGUCAUGAUCUCACAGUUUGUGGGUUCGAGCCCCGCGUCGGGCU
rfam:Felis catus isolate Cinnamon breed Abyssinian chromosome D1, whole genome shotgun sequence.